rnacentral:rRNA from 1 species
UACGUAGGGUGCAAGCGUUGUCCGGAAUUAUUGGGCGUAAAGAGCUCGUAGGCGGCUUGUCGCGUCGGAUGUGAAAGCCCGGGGCUUAACCUCGGGUCUGCAUUCGAUACGGGCAGGCUAGAGUUCGGUAGGGGAGAUCGGAAUUCCUGGUGUAGCGGUGAAAUGCGCAGAUAUCAGGAGGAACACCGGUGGCGAAGGCGGAUCUCUGGGCCGAUACUGACGCUGAGGAGCGAAAGCGUGGGUAGCAAACAGG